GGGACGUUUUGUCCUUUCUCCCCAACACAUUUCAGACUAUUAUCAUGAGUAAUGAGUCAGUUUUUAAAGUGUAAAUAAACCCAACGAGCCUUAAUUGUUGUACUUUCAGGCCUCCUUGGCAGAAGCAGAGGAGAAACAUCAGAAGGCUGUGGAGACCAUUGCUCAGCUGGAGGCGGAGAAGUCCAACCUGACAUACCAGGUGGAGACACUGCGAGGAACAGUGCAGGAAUCGGGGAACCUGCUUUCUGAGACUCACAGGCAGUGUGACGAGCUAACGAACGAGUGUGAGCGAGAGCGGGAGGCUCACAGCAUCCUCCAGUCCGAGCACAACGAGAUGAAGGAGAAGCUAAAACACUGUGAAGAGUUACUAAUGGAACGUGAGCGAGAGAGGGAGGUUCCCAGCAUCCUCCAGGCGGAGAACGAUGAGAUGAAGAAUACUCUGACGGACAUUGAGGAGUUACUGAAGAAACAUGGCAUACCUCUUGGAACCAAAGAGACAACAAAUGUUUUUUCAGGAUUCAAGAUUUUAUUUGUCACAUACUUAGUUAUAAACAGUAUAUAACCUGCAGUGAAAUGAAAACCUGGCCUGCUCCUCUUUUGAAUGUGCGUUUAAAUUACUAAAUUAAAAAAUGAAUAAAUAAGAAGAAAUAAGAAAUAUAUGUACAAUAAUGUCAUGUUCAGACAGGAAGCAGUGUGAGGAGAAUUGGCUCCACAUCAGAAUCAACGUGGCGGGUGUACGAGGGGUGAAAAUAUGAAGGAAAUAACAACAACAUGUUGAUGUGAAGUAGAAAUGUGAAUUAUAAAGGCAAAAUGGACUUAAUUUUAAAAAGUCAGUUGAUUUUUUAAAUUGAAGUUAGAAGAUGAUUUAAUUAAAGGAAGGCACAUUUCAUCAUUUAUCACCACAUCGUUUUCUCCAAAAUUGGUCUUCCUGGGAGCGGAGCGAGUUAAUCAUCACAGAUACCUCGAUCAUUAUCCGAGGUCAUCAUCACCGUGGCCUACGAGCAGACAGCCGACCCAAGCAGAGCCAGUGGCAGGUGUUAUACAGGUGUUAAACUCCGCCCCCUGGGUUAUACAGGUGUUAAACUCCGCCCCCUGGGUUAUACAGGUGUUAAACUCCUCCCCCUGGCUUAUACAGGUGUUAAACUCCUCCCCCUGGCUUAUACAGGUGUUAAACUCCGCCCCCUGGCUUAUACAGGUGUUAAACUCCGCCCCCUGGGUUAUACAGGUGUUAAACUCCGCCCCCUGGGUUUCCUGUCACUUUGAACCAGGUUUUUAAAAUCAAAUCUGUACUGUUUUAAUCAUAUAAUUUCUUCAUAUCCCUCACAUUUAUUCAGCUGGCUCGCAUGCAUUUUUCACUCCUCAUACAUCAUAAGCUACAAGGAAAGAUAUAAAAAAUAAACACAAAGAAUGUGACAAUCUCACUGCCUCUGUUCCUUGUUCCUGGUCAUAGCUGACAGACUCUUAUAAAACCUUUACAUAAGUGAUAUAAACGUACAUUAAGUAUUCGGAUCACCCGAGUGGACUUUACAUGGCUCACUCCUUUUCAAGUGUUUUGUUGUCUUUUUUUUCAGGUAUGUAGCUUAAUGUUAUUAAAAAAAACAAGAAGAGACCAAGUGCAUUUUUAUUUUAAUUUUGGCACUUAUUUAGAAUUUAUUUUUAUUUAUUUAUUUAGAUUCCAUCAGUGGACAGUGGAUAGAUUUUAACCAGCCGGACUUCUUGCAAAAACUGUGAUGAAUUUACUGGUUGCACAAUUACACUAUUUGUCCUUAUAGUACACAAUAAUACUGCUUUGUGAUAAUGUCCACUGUUAAAAGCGCUACACAAAUAAAAUUGAAUUAAAUUGAAUUUAGAAGUUCGUUAAAAAAAUGAAAAUUCAAAGUGUACUUAGGAUUUUCUUUUACCUGUUAACAUUUUAAUAUUAAUUAUGGCCAUGAGAUACCGAUAUGAUGAAGGAAAUGAAAUGACAAAAUGUUUUAACAUUUGAUGUUUUGAUUUUAUUUUUAUUUUUGACACUAAUGUUGUGUGCUUA